AAAAGAAAAAAGCUGAACUAUGUAGGUGUAAUAAUAAUUAAAAUAGAGGUCAGGUUUUUCUAGAGGGCAAUUCAAGCUUAAUGCUAACAACAGUCCUUCAGCCCUGGUGAAUGCAUGGGGUUUGGGGGGUGUUUGGCAAAUUCUGGCUGUGGGGUUUUUGUUGUGGCUUUAAGCACUCCAUUUCAGCAUGUGCACGCAGUAAGAUGUGAGCAAAGGAAACAAAAAGGCACAGAAUGUGGAUGCCUCUGUCGGUCUGUACUCUGCAGUUAUUACUGGACUGCAUCAGACUCACAGCAUCAUGCUGCUGUCUUACCUGGAAGCCCUUUGAAAGCUUUCUGUUCUCUCAUGAUCAACAGUGUUUCUGUUUCUUUGGCCAGCAGGUUGCAUGUCUACCCAAAAGGAAGCCUGACAAAUAGGAAAAUACUACAAAGUGAAGAGAAAAAUCAUUUCACGAGAAAUGAGCUCUGCUUUCAUUGCUAA
rnacentral:lncRNA from 1 species